rnacentral:tRNA from 1 species
UGCAUCGGCCGGGAAUCGAACCCGGGGCGCCCGCGUGGCAGGCGCGAGCAUUCUGCCACUGAACCAAAAGC